rnacentral:rRNA from 1 species
CACGUAGGGCGCAAGCGUUGUCCGGAAUUAUUGGGCGUAAAGAGCUCGUAGGCGGUCUGUUGCGUCCGCUGUGAAGACUCGGGGCUCAACCCCGAGCCUGCAGUGGAUACGGGCAGACUAGAGGUAGGUAGGGGAGAAUGGAAUUCCCGGUGUAGCGGUGAAAUGCGCAGAUAUCGGGAGGAACACCGGUGGCGAAGGCGGUUCUCUGGGCCUUACCUGACGCUGAGGAGCGAAAGCGUGGGGAGCGAACAGG